UUUGUUCAUUACAAUCUCCAGCUAGUGUAGUAUGACUAUCACUGUGCUUAUAACAUCUGGUUUAUAGUUCCUGUAUAAAAUAUCUCGCUGCUCCUUGGCCUCUCUCUGUAAGGAUCAAACUCUUGGUGUGGUGGUUUGUGGUUUUUCAGGGCUGUUUACUGGGCUCACAUGUCAGUGGUUUCCAGUCUCACAGAAGUGAUGUUUCCCUUGUCUCGGACAAGCCAUGACAAGCAUCCGGACGUCUACGCAGGUUUCGAUCUGAUGGACAAAAGGAGGCAAUAAAACAAAGAAAAGGGAAAGGAUUCCCUAAAACUGUGGUAAUUAGCCCCUAAGACUAAAGUGUACACGAAGAACAAAGACCCAAGGACAAAGGAUAGUGUUAUUAAGAAGUCCUUUCCAGGUACCACUAAAGCAGCAAUCCGAACCACAGAAAGAGGGUGAAUUCAUGACAGCAAAAUCAAAGAACUUGUGAAGAACCUUGAAGAAUGGAUUAUCAUAUUAAAACCGGGUGAUACCAAAUUGACUUUCAACUGGGACUGGGUGAUAACAGUUUGAGAAGACCCAAAUGAACCAAGGAAGGUGACAAUGGGAAAGUCAUCCUGGAAAAAACAAAGAAUAUCAGAAAGAAAUAACCCAGAUACCGGUCCAAAAGUGGGAAAACAAUGUUAAAAACUAACUGAUGAGGUAAUGUAUUGAGGAUGGGAUAGUGGAAGAAAUUAGGAUUCUUCCUUUGAUGUGUUACAACUGUUUUGAUGUUCUUUCCUUGUUUAAUCCCAUGUUUUAUUUGAUUACCAACAGAGUCCAAAGAAUGCAAGUGGAUAAGAAAUAUUGCUCAAGCCAAAUGAUUUAUAAAGAAGAGGAGGGAUUGUGAAAAAUGCAUACUUUAUGAUCGGCUUUUCGCAAAUAUUACAAUGAAUAUUUUAUGUGUAAUGUUAGAAAGCUAUACUGUAUUAAUUCUCUUAAAUAGUGUGUUAAAUAUAGUUUUAGGUUACAAGAUAAUAAAUAGAAAAUAGAAACUCUGCAAUGUAGGAUUUUUUUACUAGCUCAAGCAAGAGAUGAGAUAAUCAAGAAACUCUUCGCACAGAGAUGGCAGUGACAGGGCCCAUAAAGAGUUACUGCCUCCUUAUCGGAAAAGACAAACAUUCUUCCACGUUCUCUCCGUCUUUAUGGAACUACCAGGAUUAAGGGGAAGAAGUUGACAAAACCAGAAAAGUUCUUAAUUUGCAAGGAAUUUAUGCAUCAUGUAUAAGAUAUAUGAAUAUGCAACAGGCGAUUGCUUUUAAGGGUUAUUCCUUUGUUCACAAGACAUGCUUGUCGUGGCUUAAGUGCCCGAAAGCAUCCGGACAUGUGUAAGUCUUUGCUUUUUAUUGUCUUGUAAUUGUCCUAACUCUUAAUUUUUAUUACUCUAAUUGUAUUACUAUUUUUAUAACAAUUUUAUUAUUAUUAAACUUUUAAAAUUU